rnacentral:sRNA from 2 species
CUGUUGUAAUUAUUUAUAGAGCUUCAAAAGAAGUUUCUGUUCUUUCAAUAAGUAUAUACUCUUUUCUUUGUAUUAUAAUAAUUGUUAAUACUUUGUAGUUGCUUCAGAUAUCAUCUUAUAUAUAUCUAUUACUGCUUCUAUCUCUGAUUCUUUUGUAACUUAUCUAUUCUUCUUCACUUCUACUUCUACUCUCACUCUUUCUUCUUUUUCUCUGCUUUUUAUUGAAUAAACAUUCAUCAUUUAUUUUUAUAAAGACUCAGAUGCUUACUUCACUGCUUUAUCUACUUUUAUCUCACUCUUUUUCAUUCUGAUUGAUUUUUCUCUGUGUAUAUAUUUUCAUUAUUUUAUUAAGCUUUCUGCAAAUCUUUUUAUUAAAGAUAUUAAAUUAAUAUAUUAGAUUCUUUGUAAAGCAGAGAUAUGCUCUGCACUUCUAUAUACUCAUCUUAAGAUUUUAAAAUUCUUGAUAUAGACUAAGUUUUAAUUUUUAUUGUAUAUAAAUUAUUUCUGAG